UAAUCUCGUUCAGUGAAAUUA
rnacentral:siRNA from 1 species